rfam:Picea glauca, whole genome shotgun sequence.
UUGUAGUGUAAUUCCUACAACAUUAAUGCACCAGAUCCCAUUAGAACUCAGUACUUGAGUGCACUUGGACUAGAGUAGUAUUGUGAUGGGUGGCCUCCCUAGAAGUCCUAGUGUUUUACAUG